GACAGAAAUGAGAGUGGAGAGGAGAGGCAUUUGUUAUGUGGUGGUGGAAUGACGGUGGUAGUGGUGGUGAUGGAGGUGGUGGUGGUGAUGCAGCAGGUUUGCCUUGCGUGACUCGCUCCGUUCACUGCGUUACACUCCUGUCAGUCCUCACACCGCCAUCUUCCAUUCUCCUUGUAUCGGUCUCACUCCUUCUUUUCCAAGCCUUGCCUGUGUCUGCAUUUCCAACUUCUUAUGACCUGACUUCAUUUAAGAGGGAGAUUUCAAGACAUUUAUCCCUGAAUUUGGCUAACUCUUUCGGCACUGUAUGUGGACUGGAGACUGAGUGGGCCCUUUUUAUUUUUCUUGUUGUUGCGUUUGGCCAGUCUUCCCUUCUUACAUCCAGUCUUUCUUAAAAAAAAAGAGAAAAAAAAAGUCAGUGCCUUACCACGCCCUCAGCUUGACAAAUACACCAAUAUUCUACACUGCAUCGUACUAUACCCACCCAUCCUACCUAAACCACACUGCCUUUCCUCCUCUACACCUGAGUUCCGCUCCCCACGCACUACAUGCUAGGCCCCCAGUGAUCUAUCUACUUCCUAUGUUUCACCUUCGUGCUGUCGCAUUUUGACGAGGACAAGGUGGAACACACGCAAACACAAAGGAAAAAAUGAAUAACAGCAGACAUGCUAGCUACCGCAUGGAGAGUUUGUGGUGGUUAAUCUAAAAUAAUAAAAGUGAGAGAAUAUA